rnacentral:rRNA from 1 species
CCGAGUGGUGUGGAUGUUUAUUGGGCCUAAAGCAUCCGUAGCUGGCUAGGUCAGUCCCUUGUUAAAUCCACCGAAUUAAUCGUUGGAUUGCGGGGGAUACUGCUUGGCUAGGGGACGAGAGAGGCAGACGGUAUUUUCGGGGUAGGGGUGAAAUCCUAUAAUCCCGGGAAGACCACCAGUGGCGAAGGCUGUCGGCUAGAACGCG